rnacentral:rRNA from 1 species
AUUGAACGCUGGCGGCAGGCCUAACACAUGCAAGUCGAGCGAGCGGCGGACGGGUGAGUAAUGUAUGGGGAUCUGCCUGAUGGAGGGGGAUAACGACUGGAAACGGUAGCUAAUACCGCAUACCAUCAGAUGAGCCCAUUUGGGAUUAGCUUGUAGGUAAGGUAACGGCUAACCUAGGCGACGAUCCCUAGCUGGUCUGAGAGGAUGAUCAGCCACACUGUGACUGAGACACGGCCCAGUCUCCUCGGGUAGGCAGCAGUGGGGAAUAUUGCACAAUGGACGCAAGCCUGAUGCAGCCAUGCCGCGUGUAUGAAGAAGGCCUUCGGGUUGUAAAGUACUUUCAGUCGGGAGGCGUUACCGACAGAAGAAGCACCGGCUAACUCCGUGCCAGCAGCCGCGGUAAUUC